UACAGAGGUCCCAAGCGUUGUUCGGAUUCACUGGGCGUAAAGGGUGCGUAGGCGGUCGGAAAAGUCUGAUGUGAAAUCCCGCAGCUUAACUGCGGAAUGGCAUUGGAAACUGUUCGGCUAGAGGAUGCGAGGGGGGACUGGAAUUCUCGGUGUAGCAGUGAAAUGCGUAGAUAUCGAGAGGAACACCAGUGGCGAAGGCGAGUCCCUGGAGCAUUCCUGACGCUGAGGCACGAAAGCUAGGGGAGCAAACAGG
rnacentral:rRNA from 1 species